rnacentral:lncRNA from 1 species
UACUAAAGAUAAACGGUCACAUAGUAUACAAUCCCUUUUAAUUAUCCACCCACUUAUAUGCCCUAACUUUAGUUUUCCAACCUUAUUUCACUUAAGACUCUAUAAAAGCUCUCUAACCCCCACUUGUUAAGGAUUAGAAAAUUAAACUAGUCAUUCCCCUUGAGUUAUCAAAAAAAAAAACCUAGUCAUUCCCUUGAGAGAGAGAAACUCCCUACCCUCUUGUCUAGAGUGAGAGAAUUUUUCAAUACCCUUCAAGGGUAGAACCAGCUUUUGGCAGGGUAGUUCAAGCAAGGGUUGAAUCAGAAGCCUAGUUCAGCUACCUACCUGUGGUCGAACUAGAAGUGGGUUCAAUACUGUUGGUUUGACCGAGGUCAGUUCAUCCCUUGUAGUGUUCGACCCUACAAGGGUUAAACACAGCCCUUUACGGGAAGUAGUGAAAAAAAGAAAAAACGCAGUUCCACCCUUAAGGGAGAGAAAAAGCUAGGAUAUAGUUCGAGCCUUCAACUUAGUCCACUUUUGAGUUGUCAAAUGCUAUGUCUAAGAACUCAAACGUUUUCUUUUAUAUCUUUACAUUUGUAUUGAUAGCUUUUGGCAGGGUAGUUCAAGCAAGGGUUGAAUCAAAAGCCCAGUUCAACUACCUGUGGUCGAACUAGAAGUGGGUUCAAUCCUUGUGGUUUGACCAAGGCCAGUUCAUCCCUUCAAGGGUCGUCUAGCUUAGUUCGACCCUACAAGGGUUAAACUUAGCCCUUUAAGGGAAGUAGUGAAAAAAGUUAACUUUCUCAAAACAAAACAAAAAAAAGGCACUAGUGAAAAAAAGAAAAAACGCAAUUCAACCCUUAAGGGAGAGAAAAAGCUAGGAUAUAGUCCGAGCUUUCAACUUAGUUCACUUUUGAGUUGUGAAAUGUUAAGUGUCUAAGAACUCAAACUUUUUCUUUUAUAUCUUAACAUUUGUAUUGAAAAAAAUUAGUCUAUGCUCUUGGAAAUACGAGUACAUCGUACUCCCACAGGAGUACCACUCUAGGCACCAUUCCUUAUGUAUGUGGAAGGGAUCUCAUCUUUUGUGGCUUUCUAUUCUCUUCUCUUUCUCAAAUUUAUUUUUGUUUGAGAUAUGACAAUCUUUCUAACUAUUCAUGAUGCAGGGAGAGAGAUUGUUUGGGGUAUUACUAUCUUAUUUAAUUGCCAUGUAUAAUAGAGGGAGAAAGAGAGUUUAGAAAAAAAUUACUUAGAGAGAUAUAAAAAACUCGUCUACCUGGUAUGUUACCUUGUUGGUCAACCCAUCUCCAACGGUUAUUUUCCACCCAAAAGGGAAGCCUAAAAGUUUUCUAUUCUUGGAUAUAGUUGUAGCUUCUCUCCCAUCCGACCGUAGGAUGAAACGAAUACAACAGCCAAAGAUAGAAGACCUCUUAGCGCAUUACUCUUAUAUCUCACUUGAAUCCAUUUGGAACCGAUAGUUUGCAAGCUUUGAGAGAGAGAAAGAAGAGAGAGAAGCAGAAAAUUCUAAAGAGGAGGAGAAGAUAGAGAGAGAGAGAAGCGAGUUUUGUGAGAGAGAGAGAGAAGCAGAACUCUCUAGAGAGUGGUGGAAGAUAGAGAGAGAAAGUGAGAGAAGCCUGGUUUUUUCUUUCCCUCUUCUCAGUUUGCUCUUCUCACUAUGACGUAUCCUGGAAUUGUUGUUUUUGUGCAAAAUCAAGAAAAGGGGAUGUUGCUCUUCUUACUUAUCAUAGGUUCCACAAAUCACCAGGAAGCUACUCCAAUUGCCAGAUCUCUAUGCUGGAAAUAGAUAUGUGGGCCAAAACAAUCUACUAUGGAGAUACACACAAGUUAAUCAUGGAAUCUAAG